GAUGAAGAACGUAGCGAAAUGCGAUAAGUAAUGUGAAUUGCAGAAUUCAGUGAAUCAUCGAAUCUUUGAACGCACAUUGCGCCCGUCAGUAUUCUGGCGGGCAUGCCUGUUCGAGCGUCAUUACGCCCCUCAAGUCCCCUGUGGACUUGGUGUUGGGGAUCGGCGAGGCUGGUUUUCCAGCACAGCCGUCCCUUAAAUUAAUUGGCGGUCUCGCCGUGGCCCUCCUCUGCGCAGUAGUAAAACACUCGCAACAGGAGCCCGGCGCGGUCCACUGCCGUAAAACCCCCCAACUUUUUAUAGUUGACCACGAAUCAGGUAGGACUACCCGCUGAACUUAAGCAUAUCAAUAAGCGGAGGA
rnacentral:misc_RNA from 1 species